CUCCAUGGACUUUCUAGACCGGCCUUGGUAAAUUUAGAGGUUUUUUUAGAAACUCUAAGUUUACCUAGGUUGGUGUUUUAGGUGCCAAAAUUAAUUCUAAGAAAAUUACAAAUAAAGUUCCUAUGCUAAUUUUGACAAGAAAUUAAAGUUUACUCUACACUAGAGUUUAUGGCAUUUGAACAUGUAAAAGAACGUCUUCUUGG
rnacentral:lncRNA from 1 species